UAACGCGUGGGAAUCUGCCCAGGAGUGGGGGAUAACCGAGGGAAACCUCGGCUAAUACCGCAAACGGCCUGAGGGCGAAAGAUUUAUCGCUCUAGGAGGGGCCCGCGUCGGAUUAGCUUGUUGGCGGGGUAACGGCCCACCAAAGCUAUGAUCCGUAGCUGGUCUGAGAGGAUGAUCAGCCACACUGGGACUGAGACACGGCCCAGACUCCUACGGGAGGCAGCAGUGGGGAAUAUUGGACAAUGGGCGCAAGCCUGAUCCAGCAAUGCCGCGUGAGUGAUGAAGGCCUUAGGGUUGU
rnacentral:rRNA from 1 species